rnacentral:rRNA from 1 species
AGCGAACGCUGGCGGCGUGCCUAGCACAUGCAAGUCGAACGGGAAAAGGGAAACCUGAGUAAAGUGGCGUACGGGUGAGUCACGCGUAGGUAAUCUACCCCAGAAUCUGGAAUAACCUGCAGAAAGGCGGGCUAAUACUGGAUAGAGCGAGGGAACUCGUAAGAGAGGUUUUCGGGAAAGGGAGCCCGCAAGGGCCUUCGUUCUGGGAUGAGCCUGCGUCUCAUUAGCUAGUUGGUAAGGUAACGGCUUACCAAGGCGAUGAUGAGUAGCUGGUCUGAGAGGAUGGUCAGCCGCACUGGGACUGUAACACGCCCCAGUGUCCCUCGGGAGGCAGCAGUGGUGAAUCUUGCGCCAUGGGCGAAAGUCUGACGCAGCCACGCCGCGUGAGGAAAGAAGGCCUUCGGGUUGUAAAGCUCUGUCGGAUGGUACGAACAUCUUCAUAGUUAAUAGCUAUGAGGACUGACGGUACCAUCAAAGGAAGCACCGGCUAACUCCGUG